CCUACGGGUGGCAGCAGUGAGGAAUAUUGGUCAAUGGGCGGGAGCCUGAACCAGCCAAGUCGCGUGAGGGAAGACGGUCCUAUGGAUUGUAAACCUCUUUAGGCGGGGAGCAAUGCCGGGCACGCGUGCCAGGAGGGGGAGUACCCGCAGAAUAAGCAGCGGCUAACUCCGUGCCAGCAGCCGCGGUAAUACGGAGGAUGCGAGCGUUAUCCGGAUUUAUUGGGUUGAAAGGGAGCGUAGAUGGGUUGUUAAGUCAGUUGUGAAAGUGUGCGGCUCAACCGUAAAAUUGCAAUUGAUACUGGCAUCCUUGAGUACAGUUGAGGUAGGCGGAAUUCGUGGUGUAGCGGUGAAAUGCUUAGAUAUCACGAAGAACUCUGAUUGCGAAGGCAGCUUACUAAACUGCCACUGACAUUGAUGCUCGAAAGUGUGGGUAUCAAACAGGAUUAGAUACCCCAGUAGUC
rnacentral:rRNA from 1 species